rnacentral:lncRNA from 10 species
CCUCAAUUUCAAUAAUUUGCUAGUACUACUAACAGAACUCAGAAAAACACAAGUUUGCCAGUUUGUUUUAAAGAAUGACCCCUAUAAUCCCAGCACUUUGGGAGGAGUCACACAAGGGCCAAUAUUCACUAGACCCUCCAGGGAAGGGAGUAUAGGACCCCCUUCCCUACAGGACUUGAGUACCACCCUCCUAGAACAUCACUGCGUUCACCAACCAGGAAGCUCUCCGAAUGUCUUCAUUCCAGAAUUUUUACAUUAACAGAACUCAAUAUCCAGCCUCUCCCCCUUUACUGUGAUCAAAAACGGGGCUUGUCGGGGGCGUGGUGGCUCAUGCCUGUAAUCCCAGCACUUUGGGAGGCUGAGGUAGGCAGAUCACCUGAGGUCAGGAAUUGGAGACCAGCCUG